rnacentral:misc_RNA from 1 species
GAUGAAGAACGUAGCGAAAUGCGAUAAGUAGUGUGAAUUGCAGAAUUCAGUGAAUCAUCGAAUCUUUGAACGCACAUUGCGCCCUUUGGUAUUCCAAAGGGCAUGCCUGUUCGAGCGUCAUUUACACCCUCAAGCCUAGCUUGGUGUUGGGCGUCUGUCCCGCCGUUCUCGCGCGCGGACUCGCCUCAAAGUCAUUGGCGGCGGUCGUGCCGGCCCCCUCGCGCAGCACAUUUGCGCUUCUCGGAGGCCCGGCGGAUCCGCGCUCCAGCAAGACCUUUCACGACUUGACCUCGGAUCAGGUAGGGAUACCCGCUGAACUUAAGCAUAUCAAUAAGCGGAGGA